rnacentral:rRNA from 1 species
CGGACGGGUGAGUAAUGUCUGGGAAACUGCCCGAUGGAGGGGGAUAACUACUGGAAACGGCAGCUAAUACCGCAUAACGUCGCAAGACCAAAGAGGGGGACCUUCGGGCCUCUUGCCAUCGGAUGUGCCCAGAUGGGAUUAGCUAGUAGGUGGGGUAACGGCUCACCUAGGCGACGAUCCCUAGCUGGUCUGAGAGGAUGACCAGCCACACUGGAACUGAGACACGGUCCAG